rnacentral:lncRNA from 1 species
GGCGAUGCUGUAUGGCACAGAAUGUUGGGCGGUGAAACAUCAACACGUACACAAAAUGGGUGUAGCGGAGAUGAGGAUGCUUCGUUGGAUGUGUGGGCACAUGAGAAAGGAUAAGAUUAGGAAUGAGGAUAUCCGGAGUAAAGUAGGAGUAGCCGAAAUUGAAGGAAAGAUGAGAGAAAAUCGGUUACGGUGGUUUGGACAUGUGCAAAGAAGGCCUACUGACGCUCCGAUUAGAAGAUGCGACUAUGGGACAGAGGUUCAGGGCCGAAGGGGUAGAGGAAGACCUAGGAAAACUUUGGAAGAGACUCUAAGAAAAGAGACUUAGAGUACUUGGAUCUAACGAAGGACAUGACACAGGAUCGAGCACAAUGGCGUUCUAAGAUUCAUAUAUAGCCGAUCCCACUCAGUGACUUGGAUUUUCCAAGUCUCCAACCAAGAAGUUUUCCUCACUCGGGAAAUUAAGGGAACACUACCCCAACCUACAUGCUCCACUCAGAAAGCUUCAACAUACAAGCUUCAACAAAAGAAAAAUUCAAAAGAACUUAGCGAAGAAGGCUUUGGUGUAUUUAACACAAUACGUUGAAAUGAAGGAAAGCUUAUUUAUUGAUAUCCCCGAUAAGCUACAAAUAUGUACAUAUACAUGAGUCAAAAUAAACACACAAGAGGGAGCCUUCACAAAGGUUGCUUAGGAGAAGUCUCAGCAGUCGGUAGAGCCCCAGAAAGAGAAGGCACCGGAGGGGGAUCAUUUGGAGCCUCAGUACUGGACAGAACCCUAGAAGGAGGAGGCAUCAGAGGUUGAUCAUUUGGAGCUUCAUUACGCGGUACAGCCCUAGAAGACGAAGGCAAUAAAUGCCUUUGGAACAAACCCACAAAUCUCUGAUGAUCAAGUAAAACCUGACCAUCAGUUUUCCUUCAUCUGGUCAAGCUUCCUCUUCAUGUUUGUAGCAUAGUCAUGUGCGAGCCGGUGCAACUGUUUAUUCUCAUGCUUGAGCCCUCUAAUCUCCUGUUUGAGACUCUCAUCACUUCAGCCGCCAAUGAUUCAACUUGGCGGGUUCGAGCAAAUAGGCGUUGGGCCAUAUUAGACACAGAAACCUGCACACUGAACACUGAGAGCCAGCGAAUCCUUUAACAGCUAACUCAUCAGACCGUUUGGAAAGUAGUAGUCUGUUAUCUUUGGGAGUGAGAAGGUUCCUGGCCACCACCGCAGCGGUCAUAUCAUUCUUCAUCACGGAAUCCCCAACGGUAAGAGGACCAGUUGGGGAGACGAAGGAUGGGCGCCAUAUGUUGUCUGGAGAAGGCGGGGCUGCCUCUUUCAACAAGGUUCAAGUCAAAACGACGGUCGGAGGGGCCAGACAUUUUUCAAAUGUGUUGAAGAGAGAAGAGGUCGGACAAAUCAAGAUCUUAGAAGUGCAAGAAUGAAGCUUCUACUGGUGGAGAUUCAAGUGUGCUUUGGAACUUAAUGCCAGCCUCUAUAAAAAUCUGCACUCGACGGAGCUUCAGAAAUCAAAGAGGCGCCUGCUCAGAAAUCGAAGAGGCGUUUGCUUUCUCAAAAGUUGGGCUGCUUAGAGAUCACGAGGGUUGAUCUCAGAAAUCGAAGAGCCGUUUGCUUUCUCAAAAGUUGGGCUGCUCAAAGACCACGAAGGCUGAUCUCAGAAAUCGAAGAGGCGCUCGCUUUCUCAAAAGCUGGGCUCCCCUAGAGACCACGAGGGCCGAUCUCAGAAAAUCGAAGAGGCACCUACUUUUCCAGCCUUGUCAGCACCUGUCACACGCACACUCAGCUUUGCGGAAAUUAUGGGCAUUCUGUCAAAGACUUCUGGGGAAGUAGAAAACACAUGAAUCUUACUGUUCAAUCACCCACUUCCCACACGCAACAAUAGCUCAUGGGUACCACAGAUAACUUUGCCAAAGUUCUCUGCCAAAGUUGAGCACGUGAAGCUUGCAGCUCCCACUACAUCGCUCUGACUGACCAAGAAGGGUAAAAGAAUAGCAAAGAAACAGCACUAACAAAGUUUAGACCCAUAAAUUUUUGAAGGUCUAGCUACCAUAUUAUUACCCACAAGGGUAAAGGAACAGUACCACUGCUGGAUAAUUGGAAAGUCCAUGUAUGUCAACCUCUGUGCUUCGUGGCAAGGUAGACUAGCAAACAUGCCCAACCUUUACUCACAUUCGAGAAAACACUCCCAAUAAGAUUGCUUGCUCCAAAAUCGAAGAGGCACCGUCCUCCGAAUCUAAAGAGCCAGACUCCCAACAUGACUACUUUCUUAAAAAUCGAAGAGAGGUAAAGGAACAGUACCAUUGCUGGAUAAUUGGAAAGUCCCUGUGUGUCAACCUCUGUGCUUCGUGGCAAGGUAGACUAGCAAACAUGCCCAACCUUUACUCACAUUCGAGAAAACACUCCCAACAAGAUUGCUUGCUCCAAAAUCGAAGAGGCACCGCCCUCCGAAUCUCGAGAGCCACUCUCCCAACAUGAUUACUUUCUCAAAAAUCGAAGAGACACUGCUCCCCGAAUCUCGAGAGCCAGACCCCCAGCAUGAUUGCUUUCUCAAAAAUCGGUGAGGCACCGUUCUCCGAAUCAAUCGAAGAGGCGCUCGCUUUCUCAAAAGCUGGGCUGCUCAGAGACCACGAGGGCCGAUCUCAGAAAUCGAAGAGGCACCUACUUUUCUAGCCUUGUCAGCACCUGUCACACGCACACUCAGCUUUGCAGAAAUUAUGGGCAUUUUGUCGAAGACUUCUGGUGAAGUAGAAAGCACAUGAAUCUUACUGUUCAAUCACCCACUUCCCACACGCAACAAUAACUCAUGGGUACCACAGAUCACUUUGCCAAAGUUCUCUGCCAAAGUUGAGCACGUGAAGCUUGCAGCUCCCACUACAUCGCUCUGACCAAGAAAGGUAAAAGAAUAGAAAAGAAACAGCACUAACAAAGUUUAGACACAUAAAUUUUGAAGGUCUAGCUACCAUAUUAUUACCCACAAGGGUAAAGGAACAGUACCACUGCUGGAUAAUUGGAAAGUCCCUGUGUGUCAACCUCUGUGCUUCGUGGCAAGGUAGACUAGCAAACAUGCCCAACCUUUACUCACAUUCGAGAAAACAGUCCCAACAAGAUUGCUUGCUCCAAAAUCGAAGAGGCACCGUCCUCUGAAUCUCGAGAGCCAGACUCCCAACAUGACUACUUUCUCAAAAUCGAAGAGAGGGUAAAGGAACAGUACCAUUGCUGGAUAAUUGGAAAGUCCCUGUGUGUCAACCUUUGUGCUUCGUGGCAAGGUAGACUAGCAAACAUGUCCAACCUUUACUCACAUUCGAGACAACACUCCCAACAAGAUUGCUUGCUCCAAAAUCGAAGAGGCACCGCCUUCCGAAUCUCGAGAGCCAGACUCCCAACAUGAUUACUUCCUCAAAAAAUCGAAGAGACACUGCUCUCCGAAUCUCGAGAGUCAGACCCCCAGCAUGAUUGCUUUCUUCAAAAAUCGAAGAGGCAUCGUUCUCCGAAUCUCGAGAGCCAGAUACCACAGACCACUUUUUCAAAGUGCUCUGACAGAGUUAAAACAUGUGAAACUGGCAGCUCCCACUACCGUGCUAUGACCAAGCAGGGUAAAGGAAUAGCAUUACUACUUGUUGUUAGGGAGACUCCUAUAUAUGUCGACCUCCAUCCCCAACGGACAGGCAGACCUGCAAAAAUGCUCAACCCUUCAUCAUAUCUGAGAGGGCACUCCCAAACAAAGCCUUUCGAAAUAUUCAGCUUUCUUUCCCCCUGAUAAUACCUCUGCAAACAAGCUAUACUAGAGCAAGAAUAUCUCAUAUCAUCAGGGUUAAAAGCAAGAGUAUCCCAUAUCAUGCUUUUUCCCUGUUUUUUCUUUUGGCCUUGUUUUUACCUGCAAGACAAGGAGAAAGAGAGCAAUCAGUCAGCACUUGGAAUCAAGCUUCCAGCCAGGAACUGACUGCCUGGAACCCCUUACCUGAUUACUUACCUGGCAUUGCUCUCGAGUACUCAUCUUCAUCAUCUUAUGUUUCCCAGGGAAGAUUCCGCAUCUGCUUGAGGAACAGAUAGGGCAAGUGCGAAGGAUACAAGGAAGCAUGUGGAGACAAGCGUAACAGCACACGUGCCGAUACAUCCAUUACUCUGUCAAAAGCAAAAGUAUCCCAUAUCAGCAGGGUGGAACGUACUCUAGAUUUGAUGGACUUGUUUUGACCCUCAAAUUCUUCAGUCAGCCUUAUACUCUGGAGGAAACCAGAAAAACCCUCCAGCUCAGUUCAAGAAUAAGCCUGUGGAAAGUUACUUCUUCAAAAGCAAAAGUAUCUCAUAUCAUCUUCUUCAUUUUUUCUUCUCUUUAUCCUUCAUGCUGCUGCAAGAUGGGAGAGAAGGUGAACAAUCAGUCGGAGCUUUGAUUGCUUACCUUGUCUGUCACCUCUUUCAGCAGACCCCUAGCUCGGCGACUUGGGGGACUCCUACUACAUGGUUUGUAUCGCGCUUGACCAAGCCUGAAACUACAAGUAAGCUUCAAGUGAAAUUGAUACAUUACCUUGUGCAUCUCCACCAGUUAAAGAUACCACCCCUGGAUGGAGGAAGAGUACUUCCAGAGAAGAUGCCACAUCUACCUAUGAGACAGAUAAGGCAAGUCAAGACGACACCACACUCCGAUACUUAGAAGUUUCGUGAUUACGAGAUCAUUAUCCCACAAUAUUUCCUAAUGUCAUUUGUACUAAAUCAUUCACUCGUACUCACUAAAGGAGAGCUUGAACCUAUGUACUUGUGUAAACCCUUCACAAUUAAUGAGAACUCUUCUAUUCCGUGGGCGUAGCCAAUCUGGGUGAACCACGUACAUCUUGUGUUUGCUUUCCUAUCUCUAUCCAUUUUAUAUACUUAUCCACACUAAUGACCGGAGCAAUCUAGCGAAGAUCACAAAAAGCGACCGUUUUCGUUACCUAGGAUCUAUCUUGCAAGAGAACGGAGAAUUAGAUGGAGAUCUCAACCAUAGAAUACGAGCUAGAUGGAAAGAGUGCAUCCGGCGUGUUGUGUGACCGUCGUAGGCCACUGAAGCUCAAGGGAAAAUUUUAUAGGACGGCAAUAAGGCCAGCGAUGUUGUAUGGCAGAGAAUGUUGGGUGGUGAAGCAUCAACACGUACACAAAAAUGGGUGUAGCGGAGAUGAGGAUGCUUCGUGGGAUGUGUGGGCACACGAGAAAGGAUAAGAUUGGGAAUGAGGAUAUCCGAGGUAAAGUAGGAGUAGCCGAAAUUGUAGGAAAGAUGAGAGAAAAUCGGCUCUGGUGAUUUGGACAUGUGCAAAGAAGGCCGACUGACGCUCCGGUUCGAAGAUGUGACUACGGGACAGAGGUUCAGGGCCGAAGGGGUAGAGGAAGACCUAGGAAAACUUUGGAAGAGACUCUAAGAAAAGACUUAGAGUACUUGGAUCUAAC